rnacentral:rRNA from 1 species
AAGCUCGUAGUUGAAUUUCGGGGUUAGUAGGUUGGUCAUGCCUCUGGUAUGUACUGGUCUCACUGAUUCCUCCUUCCUGAUGAACCGUAAUGCCAUUAAUUUGGUGUUGCGGGGAAUUUGGACUGUUACUUUGAAAAAAUUAGAGUGUUUAAAGCAAGCUAACGCUUGAAUACAUUAGCAUGGAAUAAUGAAAUAGGACGUUCGAUCCUAUUUUGUUGGUUUCUAGGAUUGACGUAAUGAUUAAUAGGGAUAGUUGGGGGCAUUAGUAUUCAAUUGUCAGAGGUGAAAUUCUUGGAUUUAUUGAAGACUAACUACUGCGAAAGCAUUUGCCAAGGAUGUUUUCAUUAAUCAAGAACGAAAGUUAGGGGAUCGAAGACGAUCAGAUACCGUCGUAGUCUUAACCAUAAACUAUGCCGACUAGGGAUCGGACGAUGUUAAUUUUUUAAUGACUCAUUCGGCGCCUUACGGGGAACCAAAGUGUUUGGGUUCCGGGGGGAGUAUGGUCGCAAGGCUGAAACUUAAAGGAAUUGACGGAAGGGCACCACCAGGGGUGGAGCCUGCGGCUUAAUUUGACUCAACACGGGGAAACUCACCAGGUCCAGACAUAGCAAGGAUUGACAGACUGAGAGCUCUUUCUUGAUUCUAUGGGUG